AGGGAAUAUUGCUCAAUGGGCGAAAGCCUGAAGCAGCAACGCCGCGUGGAGGAUGAAGGUCUUCGGAUUGUAAACUCCUUUUGUAUAGGGAUAAACCUAGAUACGUGUAUCUAGCUGAAGGUACUAUACGAAUAAGCACCGGCUAACUCCGUGCCAGCAGCCGCGGUAAUACGGAGGGUGCAAGCGUUAUCCGGAUUUAUUGGGUUUAAAGGGUCCGUAGGCGGAUGUGUAAGUCAGUGGUGAAAUCUCACAGCUUAACUGUGAAACUGCCAUUGAUACUGCAUGUCUUGAGUGUUGUUGAAGUAGCUGGAAUAAGUAGUGUAGCGGUGAAAUGCAUAGAUAUUACUUAGAACACCAAUUGCGAAGGCAGGUUACUAAGCAACAACUGACGCUGAUGGACGAAAGCGUGGGGAGCGAACA
rnacentral:rRNA from 1 species